rnacentral:rRNA from 1 species
UGUGUUUAUUAGAUAAAAAACCAAUGCCCUUCGGGGCUGCUUGGUGAUUCAUGAUAACCAAACGAAUCGCAUGGCCUUGAGCCGGCGAUGGUUCAUUCAAAUUUCUGCCCUAUCAACUUUCGAUGGUAGGAUCUGGGCCUACCAUGGUAUCAACGGGUAACGGGGAAUUAGGGUUCGAUUCCGGAGAGGGAGCCUGAGAAACGGCUACCACAUCCAAGGAAGGCAGCAGGCGCGCAAAUUACCCAAUCCCGACGCGGGGAGGUAGUGACAAUAAAUACUGAUACAGGGCUCUUUAGGGUCUUGUAAUUGGAAUGAGUACAAUUUAAACCCCUUAACGAGGAACAAUUGGAGGGCAAGUCUGGUGCCAGCAGCCGCGGUAAUUCCAGCUCCAAUAGCGUAUAUUAAAGUUGUUGCAGUUAAAAAGCUCGUAGUUGAACCUUGGGCCAGGCCGGCCGGUCCGCCUUACCGCGUGCACUGGUUCGGCCGGGCCCUUUCCUCUGGCUAACCGCAUGCCCUUCACUGGGCGUGUCGGGGAACCAGGACUUUUACUUUGAAAAAAUUAGAGUGUUCAAAGCAGGCCUUUGCUCGGAUACAUUAGCAUGGAAUAAUGAAAUAGGACGCGCGGUUCUAUUUUGUUGGUUUCUAUAACCGCCGUAAUGAUUAAUAGGGACAGUCGGGGGCAUCAGUAUUCAGACGCGAGAGGUGAAAUUCUUAGACCGUCUGAAGACUAACUACUGCGAAAGCAUUUGCCAAGGAUGUUUUCAUUAAUCAGUGAACGAAAGUUGGGGGAUCGAAGACGAUCAGAUACCGUCGUAGUCUCAACCGUAAACUAUGCCGACUAG